rnacentral:rRNA from 1 species
AGAGUUUGAUCCUGGCUCAGGACGAACGCUGGCGGCGUGCUUAACACAUGCAAGUCGAGCGGAAAGGCCCCUUCGGGGGUACUCGAGCGGCGAACGGGUGAGUAACACGUGAGUAAUCUGCCCUGCGCUUCGGGAUAGCCACUCGAAAGGGUGAUUAAUACCGGAUAUGACUCAUCUCCGCAUGGGGUGUGAGUGGAAAGUUUUUUCGGCGCAGGAUGUGCUCGCGGCCUAUCAGCUUGUUGGUGGGGUAAUGGCCUACCAAGGCUUCGACGGGUAGCCGGCCUGAGAGGGUGACCGGCCACACUGGGACUGAGACACGGCCCAGACUCCUACGGGAGGCAGCAGUGGGGAAUAUUGGACAAUGGGCGGAAGCCUGAUCCAGCAACGCCGCGUGAGGGAUGACGGCCUUCGGGUUGUAAACCUCUUUCAGCACAGACGAAGCGCAAGUGACGGUAUGUGCAGAAGAAGGACCGGCCAACUACGUGCCAGCAGCCGCGGUAAUACGUAGGGUCCGAGCGUUGUCCGGAAUUAUUGGGCGUAAAGGGCUCGUAGGCGGUUUGUCGCGUCGGGAGUGAAAACCAGGUGCUUAACACCUGGCCUGCUUUCGAUACGGGCAGACUUGAGGCAUGCAGGGGAGAACGGAAUUCCUGGUGUAGCGGUGAAAUGCGCAGAUAUCAGGAGGAACACCGGUGGCGAAGGCGGUUCUCUGGGCAUGUUCUGACGCUGAGGAGCGAAAGUGUGGGGAGCGAACAGGAUUAGAUACCCUGGUAGUCCACACCGUAAACGUUGGGCGCUAGGUGUGGGAUCCAUUCCACGGGUUCCGUGCCGCAGCUAACGCAUUAAGCGCCCCGCCUGGGGAGUACGGCCGCAAGGCUAAAACUCAAAGGAAUUGACGG